UUUCUAAGCCGAUUUUCGAAUAUCUCUCCAUUCCAAACGAAAGAGCAUACUUUUUUCUAUAUAAUGGCAUAUUCUUUAGAGAUCUUUUCAAGAAUAUAGACAAAAUUUGAGUAUCGUUCAAUAGCGAAUUUUCAUGGUUUUUUCAAUUUUAAUUUGGAAAAAAGUGAUAUUUUUAAGCUUGUUUUCGAAAAUAUGACUAUUCCAAACGAAAGAGCCUACUUUUUUCUAUAUAAUGGCAUAUUCUUUAGAGAUCUUUUCUAAAUAGUUUAAAUUUUAUGGAGAAUAUAGACAAAAUUUGAGUAUCGUUCAAUAGGAAUUUUCAUGGUUUUUUCAAUUUUAAUUUGGAAAAAAGUGAUAUUUCUAAGCUGAUUUUCGAAAAUCUGACUAUUCCAAACGAAAGAGCAUACUUUUUUCUAUAUAAUGGCAUAUUCUUUAGAGAUCUUUUUCAAAUGGUUAAAAUUUUAUGAAGAAUAUAGACAAAAUUUGAGUAUCGUUCAAUAGCGAAUCUUCAUGGUUUUUUCAAUUUUUAUUUGGAAAAAAGUGAUAUUUCUAAGCUGAUUUUCGAAAAUCUGACUAUUCCAAAUGAAAGAGCAUACUUUUUUCUAUAAAAUGGCAUAUUCUUUAGAGAUCUUUUCUAAAUAGUUAAAAUUUUAUGAAGAAUAUAGACAAAAUUU